CAGGCUCUAAAUCUCCGUUUCCUUUUCCGCUUCCUUCACCCUAUCUUCUUCUCCUUCAACUGAAACCCUAACACACUCACCCCAUCUUCUUCUUCGACUGAAACCCUAUCAAAGUAAAUUUCAUCACUUUCUUCUUGUGCUCCUCUCGGCCGGUCUCCAUCUCUAACCUAAAUUAAGAAAGAUGAGGCUAUAACCCCGUAUGAUUCACCUUACCAGAACGCUGCUCUUUUCUCCAUCUUCUUCAUCUCCCUCCUCCAAAUCAGAGAAACAAAACCAUAAUCCAUAUAUCCAUAAAUCAAUACUCUAAUUUUAUUGGAAAUAGAUACUGAACCCAGUAGAUCUGAUGUUCUCUUAAGAUUUGGAUCAAAAUUAGAGUUUUGAUUUGGGGUUUUUGUUAGGGUUUCUUUUGAUUUAAUAGAAAAUGCUUUACGUUUGGUGAAGUUACAAAUUGAAAUGCUGCAAACCCCAAUCUGGAUGAGCGAAACUGUACCUAUUUGAUAAAGAUGGAAAUAAUUGUUCUUCCUACAAUUUUGGUUCAACAACACACUGGGAAUGGGAGUCAGAUAUCAUGGUUCGUGCAUGCUACUGAUUUGUCUGAUGGUGAAUUAAAAGAAGAGGUGUUCUGUGUUCGAUUUGUAUACAUGGAGGAAUUUUUUGUUGAUGAAAACUCGCAAUUGAAGGCCAUUGAUUUUGGCUUGUCCGAUUUUGUGAAACCAGAUAAAAGGCUUAAUGACAUUGUUGGAAGUGCAUACUAUGUUGCAUCUGAAGUUCUACAUAGAUCUUACAAUACAGAGGCUGAUGUGUGGAGUAUUGGUGUGAUAUCAUAUAUACUUUUAUGUGGAAGUUGUCCGUUCUUGGCUCGCACAGAGUCCGAGAUUUUUCGGGCCUUUAGGGCGGACUCGAUGAACCUCCUUGGCCUUCUUUAUCUUCUGAAGCCAAGCAUUUUGUCAAGCGUCUAUUGAAUAAAGACCCACAUGAACGAGUGAUGGCUGCUGAGGCAUUAAGUCAUCCUUGGAUUAGUAACUACAAUGAUAUUCAAGCUCAUGAAAGCCUAUAUGCGCUCAUCAUCUCUACAUAAAGCGGCGUUAAGAGGAAAGAAGAGACUUGCUGAAGUUGCUAACAAUAAGCCCACUCUUGGACAAAAAUGUUAAAGUAGAAACUCCUCAGAAGUUAGGUGCUGAUGGCAAGAAAGGUGGUGCUGUUCGUCAAGGUACUCCUUACCCCAAGGGAGGAAAGACCCCUGCAAGUGGAGGCAAGUCAAACAAAUCUCUACUAGGGCAUUCGGUACAGUUCACAGUUGAGAACCGCAAUAGGUUUUGGUGUCUAUUAGUUUGUUCAGACACUUACUUUUUGGUGCCUAGGAAGUUUGUUUUCUUACUGGCCAUCAUAUUUGUUUCUUUGUUCAUAAUGAAUAGAAUGAUUUUUUGUAAAUGAAUUGCAAAUUGCGGAUAGUUUGCAGGCCUGUGUUUCCGGUCAGUUGUUGUAUUGCAGGCCUGUGUUUCAGGUUCAGUUGUUGUAUUGCAGGCCUGUGUUUCUGGUUUAAUUGUGCAGGCCUGUAAACUGGAAGGCCAGGUCCAUGAUAAUGACCUGGACUAUCCAUUU